CAGGAUCAAGUGGCCGAAACAUUGAAAGUCAAAGUUGAAGAUCAAGACUCAAUAUCGAGUCCUUACUAACAAUAAAAUACAAAUUGCACUCAACAAUAAUAUGGCAAGCUUCAUCACUCUACAGUAACUGGAACAUAAGGAAAUUUCAAAAAGGCUACUGAAAACGCUUACUUAACAUUCACUAUACUAAUAAUGCACUUAACAAAUAUUCAUGCUUGAAUCCAAACUUAAGCUAAAGUCACAAACACAGCCUGAAAAUUCAAACUCAUCAACUUUUCCUCAAUACCAACAGUAAAGAGAUUUGGAAAAUUAGCACAACUCACCUAAUUACAAAAUAAAUACUCAAACCAUUAAAGAGCAUAAGUGCAUUUCUACAACACAUCAAUGGCAUAAGAUAACUAAGCUAUCAUGUACAACACACAGCUUAUUACAGAACAUUUAAAGAAGUAGAAGAAGCAAAUGAAAAGGAAAUCCAAAUCAACUUGUAUUCAAUCAGGCCUCAACUGGAAGUACAUGUUCCUAGUUACUUGUUGAAAAUGGUUUAAAGUAAUACCUGGUAAUGAACAAGGAAAACAAAAGACGCAAAGAAUCAGCAUAAACAGCAGCAGCCGAACAACAGUGAAACAUUGUUGAACGCAAUGAAGUAACCAUAGAGAAACAAACAAAAUUAGCAACCAAGCAGCACCUCAAACAAACAACUCAAACUAAAGAUUUAAACCCCCAAAAAUCAAACCACUUUCAACAAGGUGCAGGACUUUGUUAUUUUCAGUAGUUUUAACUAAGCAAUGAAGAUUAGAAACCAAAAACCAAGCAAAAUUUUAAGCAGUUCUGCAACAAGGAAAUGUUGGAAAUUAAAGGAUAUUCAGAGUCUCAGCUGUUUCAAUUUUUCAGGAUUUUUC
rnacentral:lncRNA from 1 species